AGAUGGCUGUUGUGAAAAGUCUUGCUGUAUAGACUACUCUGUAAACAUUCCCACCAAAAAGUCAGUCCAUGGGACUAGCUCCCCAGUUAGCUCAAGACCAGCAGUGAAAGUGUUUGUUUCAACUGUGUUCUUGAUGGUAAGUAUACUAUAUUUAUUUUCUAUUUUAAUCAUUUUAUAUUUUUUUGUUUCAGCUUUUCAUUUCCUCGGUGAAAUUCCAAAGAGUAGGCAGAUUGAGGCCUUGGAAUUUCACCGACGUAAGUCCCCUUCCUCUAUGGAUUCUGUUGUUUGAUUUCUGGACUUUCACCUUUUAUCUACAGUCAGCUGUUACUGCUCAUUUUUGUCUAUUGUUAUUAUAACCUCCAAAAUAUUUAAGUGAAUGUUACAGUCUUUGUAGUCUUACUUUACAGUUUUAAUAGUUUAGUAUUUGUAGGUGACAGGCUAAUGGUUGAGAAUAUCGUAUUUGGGAGCCCAAGAAAAAGAAAGGGCCAAAACCCCUAACGUUACAAAGUAAAUAUAGUAAAAAAUGUCAGACUCAGCGAGCAGCUCUAUAUCAAUCCCAGAGGGCAGGAAGAUCUAGCAAAAAAACUUUUAGAUUUCAAGAAAUGGUAAAAUAAGUUUUACAAAAAAUUGUGUAUAUCACAAGAAACAAAAAGGAAAAAACACAGAUAAGAAGGAUAAAAUGUACUUUCAGAUUAGUACUCUCUUCAUGUUCGUUUAUGAAUCUAAGUUAAAAGGAUGGGUUAAAGCCUAUCCUACAAUAAAUGGUAUUAUUUAUCAGAACUUUUUACUGGUUAAGACAAAAGCAGAUACUCUCUCCUCACCUUCUGUUAAGGCUUACCAAAGUCGAGUGCCAGAAAAACUACAAAGAUGGAAGAUAUUAAAAAACUGAGAGUCUACAUUUCAGACGAGCAUCAGGUAUUUUUCGAAGAAAUUUGUGACUCAAGAGGUUAUCAGCGAUUUCGAGGUUGAAGAAACCAACAAUCACCCAUAAAUCAGAAAUUUGGCCUCAAAUCUACAUCUUUCAUUUUAAACUGAUUUAAGUAAUUUUACUAUAUUUUUAAUAAAUUGUAAACAUUGUUUUACAAUAAAAAUAACAGUUUUUACAUGAAAGUUAAUGGUUUUGUAUUAAUUAACUUAAUUUUUUUUUAAAGGGCGGUAGAUUCAUAUUUUUAGAGCUAUAUAACUAAAUUAUGGAUAAGAUACAAAUUUAAAAUUUUGCAUCCUGUUGUAAAUUGAAUUUCUUUUCGUGUCGACAUUUUUUAAAUAAUAUUUUAAGUGAAAUAUUUUGAUUUAAACAGUUUUUUCUAGUUUCCCGAAAGUUUACUUUCUUGGACUUACAUUUAAAAAAAAAACGAUUCAAAUACCAUUUAUACGCUGCAUAAAUUAGAUAAAUUGCUUCUUUUUUAUUUACAUGGUUUUGAAAUAACUAGAAACGCAUACGGCGUGACGCUGUCCACGGUCGACGGGGUUUGAAGGAGACCAUAGCCUUAAAUAGACAUGUUACUGCUUGAAUUUCAAUAUCUUCUGACGAUUCUUGUAAAAUGAGCAUUGUUAUUUAUUUUUUGGACAGCGAGGCUCUUCAAAAUAAAUUGUAUUUCAUGACUUUUUAUAUUUUAAAUGAAGCAAUUUUCGGGAUUUUGGAAUUCACAUCAUAUUGUAUUAGAAAGAAUUUGUAAUGAAACUAUACAAAUUUGUAGUAUUUUAUUAAGAAACUGUCCUUAAUAUAACUAAUAUAAUUAUGUUUUGAUAUUUUCUCCAUUUAUAAUUCCACCUCAUUUUUGUACCAUUCUAAAAACUUUGACCUUCUGGUUACAGCAAGUUUUUUUUUGUCUAAAUUUGUCCCUUUUCAUAUGAAUCUAUCGAUUAAUGAGAUUGUGCUAUAUCUGAAAAGAACGUUAAUAUGUCGUCUAUGGUAAAUUCCAAACUUAUCAUCGAUCCUGGAUAACAUUGAUGUAUUAAAUCUUCCAAUGUUUUAUAUUGUCUUAUGAAUUCCCCUUGCAUCGCUCUCCAAACUACCUGUAAUAAAUUCUCUUCUUCUGAUAAAUGUUUUUCGACUUUUUUAUAAAGUGCCUCCAAACCUUUUUUAACCUAAAACAUAUCCCAAUAAACUUUCAUGAAAACUAGUCAAAUUCAUGAUUAUCUUUCAAAAAUAUAUUUUAAAAAUGUUGCCUUGGUAUCAGUAUAUAAAAGAUUUAUAUUUGGGUACAUUUGACAGCAGUGUUUUCUAACAAAUUGUUCGUUUUGGUACCAAGAUGUGGGCCCAAUGGGUUGUCCUAAUAAUUGGUUUUCUUCCUAUCUACCUUCUUUUCCAGUGCUUUUUCCAUUGUUCUGUAGCUGAUAUCACAGAAGGGUUCCAGCUUGUCUGCUAAUUUUAUUUUUCUUGCCUAGCUCGUUUAAUUUUUCUAGGCAAUCCCAAACGAGUUUGGAUUUUAUGAUAUUGAAGCUUAAAGUUCUAAUAGCUGCUUGACUAUCGGAUACAUUUUUCGAUUUCUGCAUGGAAAAUGCUUGGUGCGCUGCCCAGACUUUCAGAGUGUUUGGUUCUGGGCCCGUAGACUCCUAUUCUAGCUCUGUCUGCUGUUUUUAAUUCAUCUAUAUACUAUUUAAUGGCAUUUUCAUCCCACUUGCUUUUACACUUUAUUAUUGACGUGAAGUUUUUCUUAAAGCUAAACUUUUUCGAUGCAACGUCCUGAGGCAUGUCUCAGGGUUGGUUAUUAUUUAGGAACGGGUUUUCUUUAAUGACUCUGUCUCUGAACAUUUUAAGUUUUCUCUACCACAGUUUCCAGUACUAUAUGGAGAGGUGGGAGAUUUAGAAUCAUUUCUGAUGCAGCAAGAUUUCAUGGCCCCAGUUGAACAUAAGCAAGUCAGUCUUUGUACCUUUGAGAAAUUGUUUCUCGUAGUAUUCAGACUAGUUCUAGUACCUCUUCUUUCCCAGUGCUUUUUCCAUUUUCCUGUAGCCGAUACCACAGAAGGGUUCGGGUCCCAUGAAUGGCUUGUCUGCCCCCGCUUUAGCGAGCUUAAAAGCUAUGACAUUUCCCUUCGCUUCGGUGUGUCCCAGUAUCCAUUUUUUUGUUGACUGGCUUGUGAUCUGGUCUAAUAUAUGUUAUCUAUACCAAAAUAUGUUUUAUGUUUUAAUUACAGAAAUAGAAAGUAUUACAGAUGGUAUUGACUGAAAAAUAACGAGAACUUUAAAUGAAAGCAGCUUAAAAUGCUGCGAAAACCAUUAUUGUUUUAUGUUGAUAAUUGUCACACUUGUAUUUCCUAUUUUUUAUAAUUGUUUAUAAUUGUCUGUUGCGUUAUUUUCUUAAACAUGUCUGACACGAAGACAAAUGAUGAAGUUGUUGACAUUAGCUGUAUUCUCUCUCAACUAAAAAGCUUCAUUUUAACGUUAGCGAAAAAGAUGACAAGAAUGUUGAUGACGUUAUUUCAAAAAUGGCAAAUAUUUUGGGAGUGUCUACCGAAUCGUAUGUGAGUACAGAGUUAAUUAUUCAGUAGUCGACUCAAAAAAGUAUCCAUCAAGAAAAAAACUAACAAUUCCUUUGAUGAUUUUUUUCUUUUCCAAUAAGGAUUUUACAAUAUCAACAUUUUAUUAUUUAUUGAAAGAAAUGGAAUUUCAAUAUCAAAAAAGCGAGGAAGGACCAAUUUAUUAUUAGGAAAAGCAAAAAUUAUUGUGUGGGGAAUACAUUAGAAAACCUGAGAAAUUUCGUGAAGAAAAUAGAAAAAUUUACUGUCUGGAUGAAACCUGGGUAAACGCUGGACAUACUAAGGAUAAGGUUAAUAAUUGUGCAUAAUUAUUUUUAAUUUAUAUUAUUAACUAUGUUUUGAUUUAUUUUUUUUUAUAAAUAGACUUUAGAUGAAAAGUAAUGACGUACUUGAGAGCCUGGGUAUUGGUUAAUAACCUUUCGUAACUCUUGUUUACUAAACGCUAAUUGAUAACUGACUUCUGAAGCUUUGAUACCACUUGCCACUCUAGCUUGAACGCCUUCAAAGAAAGUCUGUAAUAUAAAUGAAUUUCGGUUACUAAAAUUGAUUAGAUUCUAAAAAAAGAAAAACUUACAUUUAACUUUUCCAAAGGUCUACCGAAAUACAAAGUUACGUACGCCGUAAGUGCAUCAUUAUAUUUCUGUUUGGCUUCUUUACGUUGAUUAUCUAACACUGAUAUUUUUAAUUGGGACAAUAAAGAGUAUAAGU